rnacentral:rRNA from 1 species
AGCGAACGCUGGCGGCAGGCCUAACACAUGCAAGUCGAACGAACCUUUCGGGGUUAGUGGCGGACGGGUGAGUAACACGUGGGAACGUUCCUUUAGGUUCGGAAUAACUCAGGGAAACUUGUGCUAAUACCGAAUGUGCCCUUCGGGGGAAAGAUCUAUCGCCUUUAGAGCGGCCCGCGUCUGAUUAGCUAGUUGGUUGAGGUAAUGGCUCACCAAGGCGACGAUCAGUAGCUGGUCUGAGAGGAUGAUCAGCCACAUUGGGACUGAGACACGGCCCAAACUCCUACGGGAGGCAGCAGUGGGGAAUCUUGCGCAAUGGGCGAAAGCCUGACGCAGCCAUGCCGCGUGAAUGAUGAAGGUCUUAGGAUUGUAAAAUUCUUUCACCGGGGACGAUAAUGACGGUACCCGGAGAAGAAGCCCCGGCUAACUUCGUG